GGUUGGGAAAGAUGAACAGAAGCUCCGGGCCCCAUCGUGACGUCCAUGAUAACAUCGGGGCACUACUGAGGAACGCCUUCUGGCACCCCGGGCGGUCACCAAGAGAACCUCCCGGCUAAUUUACCCGGGGACCUGCCGUGUUCAAAAGCGGUAGAUGAGAAAGAUUGUAAACCGAACCUCUAGACCACAUCUUAUCGUCGAUGAUAACAUGCAGUGCACUACUGUGGGACGCCUUCUUGCUCGCAGAGGAGUCUCUAAGAGACCUCCGGUGUUACAAAAGCCUUGAACCAAGGAAGAUUUGUGCGCUCUGAACCCCUGAGGAAGACCUAGGGCGUGUGCGGAGUACUGGAGUCGGAGAAGCGUGCCGAAAGUGAUGCGUAACUUCGCGGUGCUUCAGGGCCGACAGGUCGGUAAAGUCAUCACUUGACAAGAAGCUGGAAAUGCAGACAUCUCAGCAGCUUCCAGGAAAGAGAUCUCAACAGCUUCUAGGAAGAAAACGGAGGACCCGGCGGUGUUCGUGUGCACGACCUACCAGAAGACCAGUGGACCCAGUGGAAGUCAAGUGAUAAUGAAUUUUCGUGUGGGUUCGCAUGCCCCGUUUCAAGGCGUAGGCAGCCCAUUUUGAUCUCGCAUUAUUCGUAUAUUCGUUAUGUGUUAUUUACUUGAUUCGUAGCAACCAAAUUUUGCGUAAUUGCUAAACUUCAUCUUGGCGUAAUAUGCAUAGGGCUCUUCUGAAUUCAGUGUAAAGCGUCAAAAUGUAUUAUUAGAUAUGGUAUUCCAGUACAGGACUAUCGGUGGCUGGCACUAAAUUGGUUUUCUUGUUUUAAUGUCUUUUCAUAAGACUUUUGUUCUCACUUCAAGCCGUUUUUAUUUCACGUAUUUUGCCUCCGUUCUUGUACAACAGUGGUCAACGGUUGGGAACUUAGCAAAUGUUGAUAUUGCCGGUCUCAUUGGUAUUGAGGUAGCUUGGGGUCUUUUGUGCUUGACGUCCUGUGGAAAGUUUGCUGUUGAAGGCUUAGGCUAUAACGUUCAGACACUCCUGGUAAUAUCGUGUACUAACACACACACACCGGCGCGCGCACCCACUUUAACACUAGUAGAACUCACUGUCCCUACAAAAUAACAUCUAACACUAGCACUUGGCACAUCAACUUCUGUACAUCACCAUCACUCAGCACAGUAACAUAUUAAUACAAUAACACUCUGAACAAACGUCUGAGCCUUCUAAAAGCAGCACAAUAACUUUCCGCGGGACUUCAUGUACGGAAGGCUUCGAGUUGCCUCCACUAAUACACCGACGAUGUCAACAUUUGCUAGUUCUCAGCUGUUAGCCACUUUUGUCCUAGAAUGGAGGCAAAAUACGCGAAUACACGAGCUUUGAGAACAAAGGCUUUAGUUUUUUUUUCUCCCAAAUUGGCUCUUCAUAUGUUUGUCAUUGUGUAAACUGUUAAAAAUAGCCAUCGAAAGUUUUGUACAUAUAGCAAAUAAGUUUUUUUCUGGAUGUCAUAAGUCACAUUGAGACUGUUUUCUUUAUUGGAAUUUAAGGUUUGAUUAGAAUGUCGUAAUUUGGUAUCUGUGCAGUGGAGCAAGGACGUUAUAUAACGUCCUUGAGUAGAGGUAGGUAAUAUGCUUGGAUAAGUUCUUGCUGAUGAACCUUCGUAGAAUAAGCGCCUUACUACUGUUCUAUUGAUGUUCUAUCCAUGUAAAUAAUGAAACAGUAACCUCACCUACAUGUAUAUAAAUGUAGUCGUUUGCGUGAAAUUUAUGUGUUUAGGGCAAAAGGAAGGAACGUUGCUUUUACUUAGAGCUACCUUAGAUCCUUCACUUCAUGUACACUGUACCAGAAUCAUGUACACUGUUUUGUAUGUCACACUGAAAAUAAAUGAAUGUUUGUUUUGUGUCCAUUCAUGUACAUUAUGAGCAGUGAAUAAAGUCUUUUGUUCUCAAUUCCUUUGUAUUUCUUGUGUUUCGCUUCAUUCUUGUACAAGAGUGGCCACAUUGUCCUAGAAUGGCAGCAAAACGCUUGAAUACAAGUUUUCUGAGAGCAAAGGUCUUUUUCGCUUAGAUUCAUUGGGUGAAUAUAUUUCAUUACCAAAUUGAUAUUGAAUAUCACCGAGAAAGUUAUAAUUAAGUUGAGCUUUACUGCCAGGGUACUUCUAGAAAAUAGUAAAAUGCAGUUGUACUGUUCUUAGCUAGGGUGAUUCCAUGAUAGUCUUGACAACGUACCGUCAAAGUCGUAUUUUUGAAAGGCAUUCUAUUUACAACCGCGAUCAUUUCAAGUACGGUACGUGGUAUUCAAUGUGCUUGAAACGGAUACUUUGUUGUAGAUAGUGGUCACCAACCGUUGUUGUAAGUGUAUGUUAUUCCAGUGAAAGUGUGGACUAGGCAGUAAACAAAAUGACCCUGUGUCCUUUUCAUAAUGUUAUUCUAGGCUCUUUUUCUCGACAUGUUACCCUUAUGC